rnacentral:rRNA from 1 species
UCCGUAGGUGGCAAGCGUUGUUCGGCAUUAUUGGGCGUAAAGCGCGCGUAGGCGGUUACUCAAGUCGGAUGUGAAAGCCCUCGGCUUAACUGAGGAAGUGCACCCGAAACUGAGUAGCUAGAGUACUAAAGAGGGUCGCGGAAUUCCCGGUGUAGAGGUGAAAUUCGUAGAUAUCGGGAGGAACACCGGUGGCGAAGGCGGCGACCUGGGUAGAUACUGACGCUGAGGCGCGAAAGCGUGGGGAGCAAACAGG